GACGAACGCUGGCGGCGUGCCUAAUACAUGCAAGUCGAACGAACUCUGGUAUUGAUUGGUGCUUGCAUCAUGAUUUACAUUUGAGUGAGUGGCGAACUGGUGAGUAACACGUGGGAAACCUGCCCAGAAGCGGGGGAUAACACCUGGAAACAGAUGCUAAUACCGCAUAACAACUCGGACCGCUUGGUCCAAGUUUGAAAGAUGGCUUCGGCUAUCACUUUUGGAUGGUCCCGCGGCGUAUUAGCUAGAUGGUGGGGUAACGGCUCACCAUGGCAAUGAUACGUAGCCGACCUGAGAGGGUAAUCGGCCACAUUGGGACUGAGACACGGCCCAAACUCCUACGGGAGGCAGCAGUAGGGAAUCUUCCACAAUGGACGAAAGUCUGAUGGAGCAACGCCGCGUGAGUGAAGAAGGGUUUCGGCUCGUAAAACUCUGUUGUUAAAGAAGAACAUAUCUGAGAGUAACUGUUCAGGUAUUGACGGUAUUUAACCAGAAAGCCACGGCUAACUACGUGCCAGCAGCCGCGGUAAUACGUAGGUGGCAAGCGUUGUCCGGAUUUAUUGGGCGUAAAGCGAGCGCAGGCGGUUUUUUAAGUCUGAUGUGAAAGCCUUCGGCUCAACCGAAGAAGUGCAUCGGAAACUGGGAAACUUGAGUGCAGAAGAGGACAGUGGAACUCCAUGUGUAGCGGUGAAAUGCGUAGAUAUAUGGAAGAACACCAGUGGCGAAGGCGGCUGUCUGGUCUGUAACUGACGCUGAGGCUCGAAAGUAUGGGUAGCAAACAGGAUUAGAUACCCUGGUAGUCCAUACCGUAAACGAUGAAUGCUAAGUGUUGGAGGGUUUCCGCCCUUCAGUGCUGCAGCUAACGCAUUAAGCAUUCCGCCUGGGGAGUACGGCCGCAAGGCUGAAACUCAAAGGAAUUGACGGGGGCCCGCACAAGCGGUGGAGCAUGUGGUUUAAUUCGAAGCUACGCGAAGAACCUUACCAGGUCUUGACAUACUAUGCAAAUCUAAGAGAUUAGACGUUCCCUUCGGGGACAUGGAUACAGGUGGUGCAUGGUUGUCGUCAGCUCGUGUCGUGAGAUGUUGGGUUAAGUCCCGCAACGAGCGCAACCCUUAUUAUCAGUUGCCAGCAUUAAGUUGGGCACUCUGGUGAGACUGCCGGUGACAAACCGGAGGAAGGUGGGGAUGACGUCAAAUCAUCAUGCCCCUUAUGACCUGGGCUACACACGUGCUACAAUGGAUGGUACAACGAGUUGCGAACUCGCGAGAGUAAGCUAAUCUCUUAAAGCCAUUCUCAGUUCGGAUUGUAGGCUGCAACUCGCCUACAUGAAGUCGGAAUCGCUAGUAAUCGCGGAUCAGCAUGCCGCGGUGAAUACGUUCCCGGGCCUUGUACACACCGCCCGUCACACCAUGAGAGUUUGUAACACCCAAAGUCGGUGGGGUAACCUUUUAGGAACCAGCCGCCUAAGGUGGGACAGAUGAUUAGGGUG
rnacentral:rRNA from 1 species